rnacentral:rRNA from 1 species
GCUAUUUAGGUUAGAGUUUGAUCCUGGCUCAGAGCGAACGCUGGCGGCAGGCUUAACACAUGCAAGUCGAGCGGGCGUAGCAAUACGUCAGCGGCAGACGGGUGAGUAACGCGUGGGAACAUACCUUUUGGUUCGGAACAACCCAGGGAAACUUGGGCUAAUACCGGAUAAGCCCUUACGGGGAAAGAUUUAUCGCCGAAAGAUUGGCCCGCGUCUGAUUAGCUAGUUGGUGAGGUAACGGCUCACCAAGGCGACGAUCAGUAGCUGGUCUGAGAGGAUGAUCAGCCACAUUGGGACUGAGACACGGCCCAAACUCCUACGGGAGGCAGCAGUGGGGAAUAUUGGACAAUGGGCGCAAGCCUGAUCCAGCCAUGCCGCGUGAGUGAUGAAGGCCCUAGGGUUGUAAAGCUCUUUUGUGCGGGAAGAUAAUGACGGUACCGCAAGAAUAAGCCCCGGCUAACUUCGUGCCAGCAGCCGCGGUA